rnacentral:rRNA from 1 species
UACGGAGGGUGCAAGCGUUGUUCGGAUUUAUUGGGCGUAAAGCGCGUGUAGGCGGUCUCUUAAGUCUGAUGUGAAAGCCCCGGGCUCAACCCGGGAAGUGCAUUGGAUACUGGGAGACUUGAAUACAGGAGAGGGUAGUGGAAUUCCUAGUGUAGGAGUGAAAUCCGUAGAUAUUAGGAGGAACACCGGUGGCGAAGGCGGCUACCUGGACCGAUAUUGACGCUGAGACGCGAAAGCGUGGGGAGCAAACAGG